rnacentral:lncRNA from 12 species
CAACACCAAAAGCAAAAGCAACAAAAGCAAAAAUAAACUAUUGGAAUGACAUCAUACUAAAAAUCUUCGGCACAGCAAAGGAAAUCAUCAACAAAGUGAAAAGGCAACCUAUGGAGUGGGAUUAAAUAUUUGCAAGUGAUAUAUCUGAUAAGGGGUUAAUAUCCAAAAUAUAUAAAGAAAACACAACUCAAUAGCAAGAAAACAAACAAUCCAAAUUAAAAAAUGGGCAGAAGAUCUGAGUAGACAUUUUUUCAAAGAAGACAUACAGAUGACCAAUAGACACAUGAAAAGAUGCUCAAUAUUAGAGAAAUGCAAAUCAAAACCACGAUGAGAUGUCACCUCACAACCGUCAGAAUCUCUAAAAUCUUAAACACAAAAAACAACAGGUGUUGGCAAGAAUAUGGAGAAAAAGGAACCCUCAUGCUCUAUUGGUGGGAAUGCAAAGUGGCGCAGCAACUGUGGAAAACAGUAUAGAGGUUCCUUAAAUUUUUUUUAAAUAGAAAGAAAAAGUUUUAAUAGGAAUAAUUUACAAUCCAGCAAUUUCAUUUCUGGGUAUUUAUCCACAGAAAACAAAAACACUAACUCGAAAAGAUUUCUGCAUCUCCAUGUUCAUUGCAGCCUUAUUUAUAAUAGCAAAUGGAUGGGAACAACCUGUGUCCCUCAAUGGACAAAUGGGAAAAAAUAGUAAUAUAGAGAGAUAGAGAGAGAGAACAGAUUGGUGGUUGCCAGAGGCAGGUGAUGGGAGGUGGGAUGGGAGGUUUUUUCAUUGAUUAGUAAUUAAUCCUUACCUUUUUGCAAGAGAAGAACAGGGAGGAAGAAGAGAAGGAGGAGAGUUCUUCCUACCUUGGUUGUCCUCCCAGGAGCCUCUAGGUCAUGUUCUUUUCAGGAUCUGUGACUCCGGCUUCCUCACAAACAGAUAGCUGUCACCAGGCCCUUCCAUCCUCUCUCACAUUAUGAGCUUUGCUUGUGCUUCUGCUCACUCGUGCUCAUGCAUGUGUGUGUGUGUGUGUGUGUGUGUGUGUGUGUGUGUAUUGGAGCCGGGAGGGUUACAAGUCACAUUUAUUUGUAUAUCUUUAGAGGAAACACAAGAAGAAUGAGCGGAAGGGAGAGGAGGGGGUUAAGGACAAAGGCUCCAUGCUGUAGCUCUUCCCCCCACUCUCCCUCAUCUUAUGUAAAAUUACUAAACUCACAAAAUAAUUGAGGCAUAUGAAUUAGAGAGGCAAAAACAAUGAUGGGGCAAGCCUCUGAGUUCAUACCAAUGAGAGUAUGGACUGUCCAGGCAUAGUGGCAGGGAGAAGGAGGAAAUAUUGAGAUUACAGAGGAACUAUGGGAGGGCUUCAGAGUUUCAUGGAGCUAUAAUAUUGGGGGUU